rnacentral:misc_RNA from 1 species
GAUGAAGAACGUAGCGAAAUGCGAUACGUAAUGUGAAUUGCAGAAUUCAGUGAAUCAUCGAAUCUUUGAACGCAUAUUGCGCUCUUUGGUAUUCCGAAGAGCAUGCUUGUUUGAGUAUCAGUAAACACCUCAACCUCUUCUUGAUUUUUCAAAAGGAGGGUGGACUUGAGCUAUCCCAACAACCUUUACCGGUCGGCGGGCGGCUUGAAAUGCAGGUGCAGCUGGACUUUUAUCUGAGCUAAAAGCAUAUCUAUUUAGUCCUCGUCAAACAGGAUUAUUACUUUUGCUGCAGCUAACAUAAAGGAUAAUUGUCCUCUUUGCUGACUGAUGGAGGAUUUUACGACACUUUAUGUGUUGUUCAACUCGAUCUCAAAUCAAGUAAGACUACCCGCUGAACUUAAGCAUAUCAAUAAGCGGAGGA